CCUACGGGGGGCUGCAGUGGGGAAUAUUGGACAAUGGGGGCAACCCUGAUCCAGCCAUGCCGCGUGUGUGAAGAAGGCCCUCGGGUUGUAAAGCACUUUCAGUGAGGAAGAACGCCUGGUGGUUAAUACCCAUCAGGAAAGACAUCACUCACAGAAGAAGCACCGGCUAACUCCGUGCCAGCAGCCGCGGUAAUACGGAGGGUGCGAGCGUUAAUCGGAAUUACUGGGCGUAAAGCGCGCGUAGGUGGCUUGAUAAGCCGGUUGUGAAAGCCCCGGGCUCAACCUGGGAACGGCAUCCGGAACUGUCAAGCUAGAGUGCAGGAGAGGAAGGUAGAAUUCCCGGUGUAGCGGUGAAAUGCGUAGAGAUCGGGAGGAAUACCAGUGGCGAAGGCGGCCUUCUGGACUGACACUGACACUGAGGUGCGAAAGCGUGGGUAGCAAACAGGAUUAGAUACCACUGUAGUC
rnacentral:rRNA from 1 species